CACAGUUUGACAUCAAGAGGAAUGCAAACAGAUGCUUUAUUUUUAGCAUAGUUAUUCUCUCAGGUUGGUGCUAUCUUUCAUCUUGGCUCAAUGAGGUGGGCUUAAAUCUACCUUUCUUCAUGCAGACGCCUGUGUCAGUGCUUGCAGAAUCUCUGCCCUUGUUUGGAAGAAGAGUGCUUUCUGUGAGACUAGGACGUAGUGAAUUGAAGCUUAAGGCUUGUGAUGUACCUACAUCAUGUCUAUUUCAGAGCCUCAGAAAAGGGUGCUCCAGCUUUUUUUGGAAGAGGAUAGAUUCCGUAAGCAUGGCUGUGGACACAGCAUACAGGUAUUCUGCAUUUCUGCCUCUGUGGAGCCAAAAGAGCGUCAGAUUGCCACAUUGCAGUUCAGGGGCUGCUUUUUCGUGGCGUUCCCUCUGCAAGGUACUGCACAGAGUGAAUGUAUGUGGCAGAGGACCAGACUUGAUAUCCCAUGGACAUUUAUGCAUGAAGAUGAACUAUCUCCCAAGUGAUCUGAAAUCUUCACUGGAGCUAAGCUGUCGGCUAAAUGUUAUACCUCUGCACUUUUCGUUUCAGCACAACUAAAGCUGGUAUGCAAACCUUAACCACAAAAUAUAUACCUGGCUUGAGUGUGUGCCAGCUCAGUUAACUGCCGACCUUGUGCCGUCUUGCAGUAUGGAGAUUUUUCAUGGGCUCCCUUAAUCAAGGUAAACUCUACCCAGCGAGAAUUAUGUACAGUACCUGGUGAGUUAAUAAAGAGGCAUUGUCCCUUUAAGGAAACA
rnacentral:lncRNA from 1 species